GGGGGUGUCACGGUUUCGACGGGGUAUGAAAAGGUUCAGAAGGCGACUCGGCAUGGUACCGCCGUAAUGGGCUAAAAAACACAAACGCCAACGACGAGUUCUACGGCGAACUUCGCGCCGCAGCGUAAGCUGCGGAUCGAAGUGGGGCCUUGAUCCAGGCCUGACAACAGGAGCCGCAAGGCAGGAUCGAGCCGGAAAUGUGAAGGCCGGUUGAAAUCCAGGGUCACCCAGUUUUCCGAGGUAACGGGGCUUCUGAGGCACGUCGGCUGUAACGCCAAGGGAGUAUAUGCCGACAGAUGGUCGUAAUCCCUUCGGACUGACUACAUAUUUCGGACGCGGGUUCAAUUCCCGCCACCUCCACCA
rnacentral:tmRNA from 1 species